GGAUAGCUCAGUCGGUAGAGCAUGAGACGCUUAAUAUCAGGGUCAUGGGUUCAAGCCCCACUUGGGGCA